rnacentral:tRNA from 1 species
AUCUUUAUAGUUUAUUAUAAAAUAUUACACUGAAAAUGUAAAGAAAUUUUUUUUGAAGAUA